rnacentral:rRNA from 1 species
GAUGAACGCUAGCUACAGGCUUAACACAUGCAAGUCGAGGGGUAACGAGAGGAAAGCUUGCUUUCCUUGUCGACGACCGGCGCACGGGUGAGUAACGCGUAUCCAACCUGCCCCCAACUAGGGAAUAACCUUGCGAAAGUAAGACUAAUACCCUAUAAUUUCCUCAGAUGUCAUCUGACGAGGAAUAAAGAUUUAUCGGUUGUGGAUGGGGAUGCGUCUGAUUAGCUUGUUGGCGGGGUAACGGCCCACCAAGGCAACGAUCAGUAGGGGUUUUGAGAGGAAGGUCCCCCACAUUGGAACUGAGACACGGUCCAAACUACUACGGGAGGCAGCAGUGAGGAAUAUUGGUCAAUGGGCGGAAGCCUGAACCAGCCAAGUAGCGUGCAGGAUGACGGCCCUAUGGGUUGUAAACUGCUUUUAUACAGGAAUAAAGUUAGCCACGUGUGGUUAUUUGUAGGUACUGUAUGAAUAAGGACCGGCUAAUUCCGUGCCAGCAGCCGCGGUAA